rnacentral:rRNA from 1 species
UGGGGAUUAUUGGACAAUGGGCGAAAGCCUGAUCCAGCCAUGCCGCGUGUGUGAAGAAGGUCUUCGGUUUGUAACGCACUUUAAGUUGGGAGGAAGGUCAGUAAGCGAAUACCUUGCUGUUUUGACGUUACCGACAGAAUAAGCACCGGCUAACUCUGUGCCAGCAGCCGCGGUAAUACAGAGGGUGCAAGCGUUAAUCGGAAUUACUGGGCGUAAAGCGCGCGUAGGUGGGUCGUUAAGUUGAAUGUGAAAGCCCCGGGCUCAACCUGGGAACUGCAUGCAAAACUGGCGAGCUAGAGUAGGGCAGAGGGUGGUGGAAUUUCCUGUGUAGCGGGGAAAUGCGUAGGUAUAGGAAGGAACGCCAGUGGCGAAGGCGACCACCUGGGCUCAUACUGACACUGAGGUGCGAAAGCGUGGGGAGCAAACAGG